rnacentral:rRNA from 1 species
UACGUAGGGUGCAAGCGUUAAUCGGAAUUACUGGGCGUAAAGCGUGCGCAGGCGGUGAUGUAAGUCAGGUGUGAAAUCCCCGAGCUUAACUUGGGAAUGGCGCUUGUGACUGCAAGGCUAGAGUAUGUCAGAGGGGGGUAGAAUUCCACGUGUAGCAGUGAAAUGCGUAGAGAUGUGGAGGAAUACCGAUGGCGAAGGCAGCCCCCUGGGACGUCACUGACGCUCAUGCACGAAAGCGUGGGGAGCAAACAGG